AUUGAACGCUGGCGGCAGGCCUAACACAUGCAAGUCGAACGGUAACAGGAAGAAGCUUGCUUCUUUGCUGACGAGUGGCGGACGGGUGAGUAAUGUCUGGGAAACUGCCUGAUGGAGGGGGAUAACUACUGGAAACGGUAGCUAAUACCGCAUAACGUCGCAAGACCAAAGAGGGGGACCUUCGGGCCUCUUGCCAUCGGAUGUGCCCAGAUGGGAUUUGCUAGUAGGUGGGGUAACGGGCCACCUAGGCGACGAUCCCUAGCUGGUCUGAGAGGAUGACCAGCCACACUGGAACUGAGACACGGUCCAGACUCCUACGGGAGGCAGCAGUGGGGAAUAUUGCACAAUGGGCGCAAGCCUGAUGCAGCCAUGCCGCGUGUAUGAAGAAGGCCUUCGGGUUGUAAAGUACUUUCAGCGGGGAGGAAGGGAGUAAAGUUAAUACCUUUGCUCAUUGACGUUACCCGCAGAAGAAGCACCGGCUAACUCCGUG
rnacentral:rRNA from 1 species